GGAAGUGAGCCGACUGUGAUGUGUUGAUGUCGGUUGCUAUUCGGGUAAUGUCUUGCAUGUAUGACCAGUUCUACACAGUAAUAUGUGCUUAUUUAACUCAUAUCUUCUGUGCUGGGGACUUUACUGGUCAAUGCAGGGGCUGUGCUGAAUUUCAAGCUUAAAAGGAAGGAGUCACAGGGGUUUGGAGAUGAGUCCAGAGCACCAACAACAGUCUGCGCAGAUUGUUUGGAUCAUGAUCAGCGUUUGCAGUGACUGGACUUCCACCAGGAUGCUCACUUUUCAAGAUGGAUACUGUAAACCUCUUCUUGAUGGGAUUUUUCCUUUGGCCCUUUUAAUUUGAAUUAUGGUCCUUUUCAGUUACAACCCAAAAAUCUAUGUAAAAAUACGUCUGGCUGUACAGGAAUUUAUGCACUGCAUAUUUAUUUUUUAUUCCAGAACUUGUUAGAUUUUUACCUUCUGAACUGUAACUGUUAGUGGGUUGGAUAUAUUAGGUAGCAAGUAAACAUUUUGUCCUCAAAGUUGAUGUGUUAGAAACCGGAAAAAUGGGCAAGCGUAAGGAUUUGAGUGACUAUAACAAGGGCCAAAUUGUGAUGGCUAGACGACUGGGUCAGAGCAUCUCCCAAACUGCAGCUCUUGUGGGGUGUUCCAGGUCUUCAGUGGUCAGUGUCUAUCAAAAAUGGUCCAAGGAAGGAAGAGUGGUGAACCGGCGACAGGGUCAUGGGCGGCCAAGGCUCAUUGAUGCACGUGGGGAGCGACGGCUGGCCCGUGUGGUCCAAUCCAACAGACGAGCUACUGUUGCUCAAAUUGCCAAAGAAGUAAAUGCUGGUUUUGAUAGAAAGGUGUCGGAAUACACAGUGCAUCGCAGUUUGUUGCGUAUGGGACUGCAUAAACGCAGACCAGUCAGUCAAGUUGUCCAUGCUGACCCUUGGGAACUGCUGAAAGCACCAACAAUGGACAGGUGAGCAUCAGAACUGGACCUCCUAAAACACAUGAAUCAUGUUCCAUCUGUGGACGUCUCUGGUUUCUUUUAUAAAGUGCUGUAGGGUUGUGUUUGGUGCUUCUGUCGUCUUUGCUGAGAGUUCAAGUGAAACCAAAGUGGGCAGACAUUGAAACUUCAUGUCACUGAACUUGGAUCUUGGAAAAAAAAUGCUGUCAGAUGAUGCAGAAAUGUACAGGCUGAAGUCGCAGUAAUAACAACCUGCUUUAAUAAUUAGCAAUACUGUUUUAAUUCUUAUUACUUGGUCUAUUUUUCAUUUUAAUUGUCAGGAUUGAUAACCAGAACACUGACCUCUGCCUCCACUAGAGGGCGCCAAAGCCACACAAUAGAAAACCUGCUUCUCUCCUGUGUCACAUUUUCAUGGAAGAAAUGUGCAAAUACAGGGUAUUUGUCAUUUAUCUAAAAGAUCUCUCCUACGUUUUGGUCUUGGUUGGAACUAUUACUUCAGUAAAAGUGUAAUCAAAUAAAUAUGAAACUAAAUUAAAAUUCUGCACCCUGCCCAGAGGUGUUAGGAUCUGACACACUGUUGGCUAAGAUCAGCCCACAAAUGGAUUUUAACCUCCUGAUGGCACCAUUUAUAUUACUUUAGAGUAAAAUGAAUAUGAAAUGUGAGACACUGUGCUCCAAGCAAAGUAAGGUCAGCCAACUUCCCCUCUAAAUUCACUCUAUCUUCCAUAUUUAUAUCACACUGAAUGCAGGCUAAACCAGUCAAACUGUGAGCUUAAGACGUGUAUGAUGAUUUACAGCUAUAAUCAUGGGUAAAGGUGUGAUUCAUGACAAAAGCCCUAAAGGAGACCAGAGUUGCCAACUUUUAUCUACCAGCUGGAGUGAGAUUGGUGUAUCUUGUAGGCUAUUAAUGCUAAUUGUAAUUUUUAAUGAUCAUUUUGUUUCUUACUAGUUCAAAGUAGGAGUUGUGUUGGUGAAUGUCAUUUAUUUCCACAGGUGUCCCCAGUUGUAGAUGUCAGUGUCAUCUUAAAAGUCUCUUCUUUCCUUUAUAUAAAUGUGUUUUUGUAGUUGUCUUUCUGGUCCUGUCUCUUUUUCAUUUUACCAAUUGUUUUAUUUUUAUUGUUGGUUUUAACUUUUAUUGUACUUGUCUUCUGCCUACCCCUUUAAUUUUAAUAAAAAAUAUCACUUUUUAUCAUGGA